GACGAACGCUGGCGGCGUGCUUAACACAUGCAAGUCGAACGGAAAGGCCCUGCUUUUGCGGGGUGCUCGAGUGGCGAACGGGUGAGUAACACGUGAGUAACCUGCCCUUGACUUUGGGAUAACUUCAGGAAACUGGGGCUAAUACCGGAUAGGAGCUCCUGCUGCAUGGUGGGGGUUGGAAAGUUUCGGCGGUUGGGGAUGGUCUCGCGGCUUAUCAGCUUGUUGGUGGGGUAGUGGCUUACCAAGGCUUCGACGGGUAGCCGGCCUGAGAGGGUGACCGGCCACAUUGGGACUGAGAUACGGCCCAGACUCCUACGGGAGGCAGCAGUGGGGAAUAUUGCACAAUGGGCGGAAGCCUGAUGCAGCAACGCCGCGUGCGGGAUGACGGCCUUCGGGUUGUAAACCGCUUUCGCCUGUGACGAAGCGUGAGUGACGGUAAUGGGUAAAGAAGCACCGGCUAACUACGUG
rnacentral:rRNA from 1 species